rnacentral:rRNA from 1 species
GGAAACGGAUAGAGUCGGCGUAUCAUUCAAUUAUUCAGUUACAUUAUUUUUAUGUUGUGACCUCUGAGCUCCAGAUUGGGACAGAGGGAAUCAGCAUAAUUUUUUGUGGUGCAUUUACUUGAUUGGUGCUUGGGGAUGUUUGAGGCAGAUUUGUUUCCGUCGUUUUGAGGCCAGCUUGCUGGUACCCAAACGGUGUUAGCAUUUUUUGUCUUGGGCAUUUGAGUAUGGCUCACGUGUAUUUAUUGGACAGAUCUGAGUGUAAGUUACGGUCGCAUGCGACACGUGCUUUUCAAUUAGUUCGGUCCAGUUAAUGCUCUCGUACUCGUUCCCCAUGUAAAAGCCGGUCAUCUAUCCGACCCGUCUUGAAACACGGACCAAGGAGUUUAUCGUGUGCGCAAGUUUUUGGGUGUUAAAAACUUAAAAGCGAAAUGAAAGUAAAUGACUCUUUAGAGUCUGAUGUGCGAUCUUGUAAAAAAGUGUAGCAUGGCCCCAUUCUAACUGUUUACAGUAGGGUGGCGGAAGAGCGUACGCGGUGAGACCCGAAAG